rnacentral:rRNA from 1 species
UACGUAGGGGGCAAGCGUUGUCCGGAUUUAUUGGGCGUAAAGAGCGUGUAGGCGGCCAGACAGGUCCGUUGUGAAAACUCGAGGCUCAACCUCGAGACGCCGGUGGAAACCGUAAAGCUAGAGUCCGGAAGAGGAGAGUGGAAUUCCUGGUGUAGCGGUGAAAUGCGCAGAUAUCAGGAAGAACACCCGUGGCGAAGGCGGCUCUCUGGGACGGUACUGACGCUGAGACGCGAAAGCGUGGGGAGCGAACAGG